rnacentral:rRNA from 1 species
UACGGAGGGGACUAGCGUUGUUCGGAAUUACUGGGCGUAAAGCGCACGUAGGCGGAUUUGUAAGUCAGGGGUGAAAUCCCGGGGACUCAACCUCGGAACUGCCUUUGAUACUGCAAAUCUCGAGUCCGGAAGAGGUGAGUGGAAUUCCUAGUGUAGAGGUGAAAUUCGUAGAUAUUAGGAAGAACACCAGUGGCGAAGGCGGACUCACUGGUCCGGUACUGACGCUGAGGUGCGAAAGCGUGGGGAGCAAACAGGG